UACGUAGGGUCCAAGCGUUAUCCGGAAUUACUGGGCGUAAAGAGUUGCGUAGGUGGCAGAGUAAGUAGACAGUAAAAGCGUGCGGCUCAACCGCAUAUAUAUUGUCUAAACUGCUCAGCUAGAGGACGAGAGAGGUAACUGGAAUUCCCUGUGUAGGAGUGAAAUCCGUAGAUAUAGGGAGGAACACCGAUGGCGUAGGCAGGUUACUGGCUCGUUCCUGACACUAAGGCACGAAAGCGUGGGGAGCAAACGGG
rnacentral:rRNA from 1 species